rnacentral:rRNA from 1 species
UGAAACAGCCAUAUCACUCUGCAGCCUGGUUAGUACCUGAAUGGGAGACCACUUGGGAAAACUAGGUUGCUGUUGAAA